ACAGGUGCUGCAUGGCUGUCGUCAGCUCGUGUCGUGAGAUGUUGGGUUAAGUCCCGCAACGAGCGCAACCCUUAUCCCCAGUUGCCAUCAGGUUAAAGCUGGGAACUCUGGGGAGACUGCCGGUGAUAACCGGAGGAAGGCGGGGAUGACGUCAAGUCCUCAUGGCCCUUACAUCCCGGGCUACACACGUGCUACAAUGGCAGGUACAGAGGGCUGCGAAGCCGCGAGGUGGAGCGAAUCCCAGAAAACCUGUCUCAGUCCGGAUUGAAGUCUGCAACUCGACUUCAUGAAGGCGGAAUCGCUAGUAACCGCGGAUCAGCAUGCCACGGUGAAUACGUUCCCGGGCCUU
rnacentral:rRNA from 1 species